rnacentral:lncRNA from 1 species
CCAGGACACCAGAAGGGAACUGGGCCCGUUAAAAAGAGAAAUCAAAUGGCAGACCAAGAAGCUAAAAAAGCAGCCCAAGGGCCAAUGACUCUGGUGGUGAGAACCCAACAGCCCGCUGCUGAGAAAAUAAAUAAAAGAACCCUCACAGAAGAAGAGGGGCGAGAUUACUUAGCUAACAUACACCAUCUGACUCAUUUAGGAACUAAAAAAUUACUAAAAUUGGUUAGUAAGUCCCCCUAUUACAUUCCUGGAUUAAAAGGAAUUGUGGAAGAGAUAGUAAAAAACUGCCGUGCUUGUGCACUUACCAACGCUGGGUCUAGCAGGCUCCAGAAAAGAAAACGACUGCGAGGAGACAGACCUGGAGCCUACUGGGAAACUGACUUCACUGAGGUGAAACCGGCUAGGUAUGGAAAUAAAUAUCUCCUAGUUUUUAUAGACACCUUUUCAGGAUGGGUCGAAGCGUUCCCCACCAAGAAAGAAACGGCUAAUGUAGUGGUCAAGAAGAUACUUGAAGAAAUCCUUCCCCGCUUUGGGAUACCUAAGGUAAUGGGGUCAGACAACGGACCUGCCUUCGUCUCCCAGGUAAGUCAGGGAUUGGCCAGACAACUGGGGACAAAUUGGAAAUUACAUUGUGCAUACAGACCCCAGAGUUCAGGACAGGUAGAAAGGAUGAACAGAACGCUAAAGGAGACUCUGACUAAAAUAGCCUUAGAAUCCGGCGGAAGCGAUUGGACAGCCGUUCUCCCUUAUGCCUUGUUCAGGGUUCGGAAUACACCUGGACCCCUUGGCCUAACUCCAUUUAAAUUAAUGUAUGGGGCGCCCCCACCCAUUUUUAUGACCGUAGGGGAUAAGAAUCGCCCGGAUGUGUCUUUCUCUCCUUCUUCUAGUCUUUUGGCUCGAUUAAAAGCUCUUAAAAUAGUAAGAAAAGAGGUCUGGGAACAGCUAAAAGAAACCUAUG